rfam:Salmo salar isolate Sally breed double haploid chromosome ssa02, whole genome shotgun sequence.
GUCACACCAAUUUGUAAGUCGCUCUGGAUAAGAGCGUCUGCUAAAUGACGUAAA